UAUAGAGUCUUAAAAAGGGGGAUUUAAAAAGUCCCCAUCCCUGCAGAUGUCCACGGAAUCAGAAAGUGUUUGGGGGAGAGGAGAGGAGAGGAAGCCCCGGUGACCCCGUGAGCUGCAGAGACUGCUGACCCCCUCACAGCUCAGGAUCUCACUGUGGAAAGCAACAGGAAGCAUGGCCGUGGGUCCCAGGGGUCCCCAGCACAGGGGGGGCAGGAGACAUCCAAGCUGGGUUCUGCUGUCUUCCCACAGUGGCUCCCAGAAUAAUCAGAAUAAGGCUGAUUAUUGGAAUCAAUCCCAGGUUUUCCCAGGCGCCCUGGAGGCGGCCGCAUCCCAUGUAGAGGGAAGAGGAGAGGCAAGGGGGUGUGGGCAGGUCCUCCAAAGACUGUCCUCAGGUCCAGCCCCUCUUCCCCUGGGUCUCUCUUUUGUUUUCUUUCUCCUCCUCCUCCUCCUUCCUCCUCCUCACUGUUUUUCUUACAGCCAUGGUUUCCCUCUCUGAGGUCCGAUCUCCUCCAGCUGCCCAGGGUGCCUCUUUCUUCUCUGCCCUCCCCUGGCUGCUCCUCUGCCUUUCUCUGCCUUUCUCUGCCUCUCUCACCACCCGCUCAUCCUGGUCUGCAUUAUUUUUGCGAGUGUCUCUCCAUCUCUACCCCUGGAUCCUGGAGCUCUCAACUCCUCUCUCCUUCCCUCCCCACCCCCCCUCCCACCCCAUUGCCUCCUCCUGCAGCGUGGGGGUGGCUCUGUGGGAUCCAGGCAUCAGGAGACAAAUGUACCCGGGCUGGUAACCAAGGAAGUCGUUUCCUUAGCAACAAAAUCUACAGGCAGGGGCUGCACUGCCCUGUCCCUUAGCUCUGCUAUUACAGUAACAGGAUAAAGGAAGAGGGAAGGAAAAAAAAAUGAGAAAGGGAAAGAAAGAUGGGGUUUCAGGCUGAGUGCCUCAGUGUGACACCGCUGUGGUCCCUCCAGGAAGGGACAAUGCUCCGGCACCAGCUCAUUGUCGGAUGCUUUGGGAACACUCAAAAUUUGAGGCGCAAAGUGGGUGAGAGCUGAGGGAGGCAGAGUGGAGGGGGUAAGCACCUGGAGGACUAGACUACAGGUUGGAUGUGUAGAAAAGACAAAAAAGGCAACCGGGGCCUGGAGCUCCCAGGCUCAGCCAUCCCCAGACACCAGGGGGAUCCUGUGACUGAAUGAGAACACAGUGAGGGGACAAGGUCACAGGUGAAGGUGAAGCCUUCUGAAAUGUUUUAACUCAGCAGACGCCCCAGCGUCCACCAACUCAGGAGCUAAGCCUGUCAUCAGAACGCACCCCAGGCCUCCAGCCAGGGCUCCUCCACCAGUGUAUCCGGAAAGUGUCUCCAUCUGUGACUGGCCUUUUCUAUUGCUAUGAAAACUUCAUGAAACAGCUUCCAUGUUGGAACAUGGAAUCUGGGGAGACCUAAACCUGUGUUCCCGGGCCACGGUCACUCCUAUUGGGCUCCAGAAUAAACCCUCCCUUCUUUGGAAGUGA